UGGGUAAUUAUAGCUUCCAGCCUCAUGUCAGGAGUCCCCUGCUCAACAGCGUGCUCCUGGUGGUACUGCCACCCGUAACGGGUACUGGCUUUGCUAACAUCCUGACGAGACGUCGGGGAGAGACGGGAAGUGGCAGAGAUGGGAUCUCACUGUGUUGCCCACGCUGGUUUCAAACUCCUAGCCUCAAGCAAUCCUCCUGCCUCAGCCUCCUGAAGCCCUGGGAUUACAAGCAUAAGCCACCGCCCCCGGCCAGAUCACAUGAUUCUUUACAUCUCUGCUGACAGAUUUCAUCACUGGUGCUGAGUGCAGGGAGUCCCGCAGCCACUUACACGUGUUGCAUUGCCAGGCAAUACAGGCCUGUGUGACUUGCUAUUCUGUGGCUGGGCUUCUGCCUGCAGAUGCCUGGUUUCUCCACUGCCAAGGCUCAUGGUCUGACACAUCCAUGAAAUUCAACAGUGAGGAUGCAAUGACAAUGAGUCGUGCAUGAGCGUUCCCGGGCCUCGCUCCCCUGCCCAUCAGAGAAGGCUUGGCAUCUCAGCUGACUCGCCCUCUGCUGCCCUGGGAAGGGGGCCGCCAUGGUCAGAAUGCCUCUCUGCUUACUUGGGCUAUGGCUGGGGAGGAGUUCUUCAGGAAAUCUUGAGGAGAGAGGUGCUGGAGUAUGAGGACAAUAGGUGGAAAGGGAAGGAAAUUUAAGGAAGUAUUUCUGUGGGCCAUGUGUCUCUGUUUCAGCAUUUAAGAACGCACAUAAGGAACUUCAGUUAUUUUGCAAUGACUCUUGUUGCUGGGUGGUGAUUCUUGACUCCACCAUUGGUUGAGUCUUGACUGCAGGCAUCGCAGCUUCAGGGGGAUUACGGAACACCAGCGCACAGAAGAAGUACACGGUAACUGAUAGUUAGACAACAGUCACAUUGCCCCUUGUGUUUCUGGAAACUCUGGGAAUAAAGGUGAUCUGGCUCAGCUCAUAUCCUUGGGAGCUUUAGCACACAAGCAGACCCAGAGAUACAGGCUUGGAUCUGAAUCUAGGAGGCCCAGCAGGAAUGGACGGGAAAACGUUCAUUUCUCUCGGAACGUCUCAUGAAAUCUCUAUUUCUAGGGCCAUGUUCACUGUGUAUUCAGGGAACUCUGCCUGUUGUUUUCAUGUCCAUUUCUGUAACUGUCAGAACUAUGAUCCCAUUUUAAAAUUUGCCUGAGUGCUUCCUCAAAUGCAAUGGAUAAUUUCCUUAACUAUACUAUUAGCAUAAAUUUGCAUGUUUAUUUCAUAAUUAAAAUGAGUAAGAAUAAAAGGCUAAUUACACCAAAAUUGCAUGAGUCACCAUAAUUAAAACUGUAGAAAAUAAUUUUACUUAUAAAUUUCAAAAUCUUGAGUGAUCUGUUAUUCAUCAUCGCAUGUUCAUUCUCAUCUUACCUCUAUUUCAUCCCGAAUGCUGGGGUGGGAGGACUCCAGGUACGAUGGAGCUGGAAUUGGAAGGUGUUCUUGGACCUCAGGGAGACUAGAAUCAGAUGAAGGGAAGAAAGUCAAUCCAAUGGAUUUGUGUAGAAAUCACACCCAAACCAAAGGGUAUCAGGCACAGGGAUCUUUGGUAGUAUUGGCAAGGCUCUAGGUCUCACGUGGGGUGGUGGGUUUAUUAUUAUGUUUCAUAAUCAGAUAUUGGAUUCAUAAUUGAAUCAAUAUUAUUGGAUUAUUUUAAUGUACUGAAUAUGACUACAUUUUUUGAAGAAGAAGAUAAUGAGCAAAUGUGUUUUUGAAUUUCCUUCUAACUUCUAAUCCAUCCUGCUUUAUGCCACCAAACAAGUCUUCCUAAAACACUGAUUUUAACCAUGUCGUGGCCUGAACACAGUCAUCAGUGACUCUACCUGUAGACAGAUAGAACUCCACCUUCCUUACCUGGCAUUUGAGGCUCCCAACUUGUUUUUCUGUGUGUAAUUUCUUCACAGAAUCUUUCAUGAAAUAAGCUACCCUCACUGUCCUGUGAAUGUGAUUUUUGUGUGAAUGUGAUUUUUGUGUUCUUAAUGUUGCACCUUUGCUCACACCAUCAUCCUCACCUCCCCUGAUAACAUCAACACUAUUAGGUACUUACUGUGUGUCAGGCACUCUUGUUCACUAGGAAAAGAAAGAAAUGGUCCUUAUCAUUAGUCUUUCCACGCCCAGCUCGAAUACAUUCCCAUUGAUUGAUUCAUUCAUUCAGGACGCAGUAUAUCUAAUCUAGGACCCUGUUCUAGAAGCUGUGAGGGAAACAGGGUUGAGUGAGAACCAGUUCCUUCCCUCCAGAGGCCCCAUGCUGGAACUCUGCUUGGUUCCCUCCAUGAAACUUUAUGCUCUCCUCUCCCCACUGAAGCCCAUGGAAAUCUAGCUUUUCUCAGAAUUUCUAAUGGAACAAAGCAAAAACUGACUCAAGUGUUCCUUUUAUUUAUUUACUUGAUUUUCUAAGGUUGGGCAAGAUAGAGGAGGAAAGGACUCUACCUCAUGGCUUGUCCAGAAGAGGGCAGGGCCACCCCUGCAGCCAGGCCUCCCGGGCCCUGGAGGUAGGAGGGGGACGAUGGCCUCUAAGAGCACUCUGAGACCAGGAGCCUGUUCUCUCGGGCCUGAAGGCUUCGCUUCCACUGUUCUGCGCUGCCGCCCUGGCCUGGCCACCUCCCCUCCACUGUGUGGCUGGCUCUUCUCUGCCUUCUGCUACCUGAUGGGAUCUCCCACUCGCCUCCACGAGGAUCUGAGAGGAAAGGGUGCUGAGGAGAGGAGCGUGGAGUGGGCAGGCUCUUGAUGCCAAGCCAAGAAUCUGCAUGGCUCAUUUGAAACUUCGCAGUGCCCUUUAUCCCUUGUUCUCUUUUAUGUAUAAGCUCAUCUUUCUCCCAUACAGUUGUAAACCCCAAAGGGUAGGGACUGUAUUCGGUUCCUUAUUUAUAUCGUGUAAGACAGUGACUCUCAAACUCAUCAGAAUCACCUGGGGAGUUUUAAAAACUUGAUUCCUCCAGAAACCAUAAAGACCAAAGAUUUAAAAAUAUCACCAUAUUAAAACAGAAUGAAGCAAAAUCCUUCUGUAAAGCUAAGAAAUUAUAAGCAAGGGGAAAACAGUAUUUGGAAUAUAGAUGGAAGACACACUAAUUUCUUUAAUUUGCAACAAAUGUCUAUAAAUAAGAAAUAUACAAACAACUCAAUAAAUGCUGGGCCAGGAAUCUGAACUGGCAGAACAUGGAAAAGAAAUACCAGUGACCAAGAAACAUAUGAAGAGCUGCUCAUCCUUCCUCAGAAAUAAAGAGACGCAAAUCAGAACAAUGCCAGACCACUUUUCAUGAAUCUGAUUAGCAAAAAUUAUAAAGUUUCAUGAUGCCCAUUGCUGAUGAGAGUAUGGAAGCAGAUGCCAGUGAAUGCAAACUUGGUGGAUUUUGGCACCUGUGUGACAAGGUGGGGCAGUGGUUCUCACACCUGCAUGAGCUUCUGAAUCACAUGAUGAACUUUUAAAAACAUAGAUUCUCUGCGCCCCCAUCCCAUACGGCACCCACGUGUAACUAAGGGCACAAUUUGUGAAGUUCGAAAUGGUAAUAGAGACCAGACUAGUAAAUUUCAACUAAAGGAAUUUUGUCAACAUACAUCAACAUUUUUAAAACAUGAGUAACCUUUGACCCAGCAAUUCUACUGAUGGGAGCUGAUUCUGAAAUUUCCCACACAAGAGUAUCAACGUCGGCAAGAAUGGAUGCCCACAGCAGCGUUAUUUGUAUAGCAAACAACCUCAAUGUCCAUCAAUAGGAACCUGGAUAAAUAAACUGUGGCACAUUCUUAGAUCUUUUAAAGAGAUUUAGUAGGAACUCCAUUUGCUGAUAUAGAGCAGUCUCUGAGUUAUGUUGUGCAAUGAAAAAAUCAAGCAGCAGAGCAGUAUAAAUGGUGUAAUCCAUUUUCCACAUAACUUUUAAAAUGACACACCAUAUACUUUGGUAAAUGCACAAAUUCUUUUUCAAUGGAAAAUCUACAAGAAGCUGAUAACAGUGGCAACUUUGAGGGAAGGAUGAGAAGAGAGGUUCUUACCUUUCAUUCAGUACUGCUUGAUUUUCCUACUUUGUGCAUUGAUUAGUUUUAGUGGAGAACUUCAGUAAGUGUCAUCUGAAAGGUGGAGUUAUGGGACAAUUUUGGUUUCUCCUUUAGAGUUUUCUGUAAAGGAUAUUCAAUAAUUGAAGAUUCUCAGGCCAUAUACCAGAUACACUAAGUUUGGGUGGAGAUGCUGGCAUGGGACUCUAGAAAUCAGCUUGUCGUGUGAUUCUGCUCAUCAGUCAGGUUUGAGACUCACUGCAGAAGAUUCUGGAAGAAAGAUGCUCUCUUCUCUAGCUCAGGGGUUAUGAGGAUGAGAGGGUGGGGUGGCGGCUGCAGCCCUUUUGUUUCCAUGAAAGGAGAACCUGAAUGACCUUGUGCAACCUAAGGUCAAAGAAAUGCAUGGCUGGCAAGUAAACCACAGAGAGGAACUUGUCCCCUGGUACAUCAGUAGGCCACAGAAUCAUGCCUUUCCCGAAGAAGGACGUCCUGCGUCUAGACUUUGCAGUUAUGGAGCCAAUACAUCCUCUUUUUUGUUUAAUGCAGCUUGAGUUAGGUCUUUUGUCACAUGCAAUAUUAAGAAUCCUAACUGAUAGACCUCCACUGAGACAAGCUGAGUAUGUCUUUAUCUCUUGCAGACUGAAAUUGCCUAAUUCAUAAAGUAUUUCAUGAUGUUUGCAAGAUAAACCCUUGUCUGGUGCCUUGGGCUACAUCUGAUGAUUGCCUGCAAUAUUUCUGCCUCUAGAAAUGAACUGUCAAACCAAGAAGUAUGUCCUUGGAAUGCAUCCUCCACAUUAGCAAAAGAAUUAUGUGUUUUGUUUGCUCUUCAUCAUGUAACUCUUGAAUAAAUUUGGAUGCAACAGAUAAA